rnacentral:tRNA from 1 species
CAGGUAGUAAUUUAUUAAAAAUGCCAAUUUCGGAAAUUGGUAAAAAGAAGACUGUUUCUUCUAUCUGA